rnacentral:rRNA from 1 species
UGGGGAAUAUUGGACAAUGGGCGAAAGCCUGAUCCAGCCAUGCCGCGUGUGUGAAGAAGGUCUUCGGAUUGUAAAGCACUUUAAGUUGGGAGGAAGGGCAGUUACCUAAUACGUAUCUGUUUUGACGUUACCGACAGAAUAAGCACCGGCUAACUCUGUGCCAGCAGCCGCGGUAAUACAGGGGGUGCGAGCGUUAAUCGGAAUUACUGGGCGUAAAGGGCGCGUAGGCGGUCGAGUAAGUCGGAUGUGAAAUCCCCGGGCUUAACCUGGGAAUUGCAUUCGAUACUGCUUGGCUAGAGUGUGGAAGAGGGAAGCGGAAUUUCCGGUGUAGCGGUGAAAUGCGUAGAUAUCGGAAGGAACACCAGUGGCGAAGGCGGCUUCCUGGUCCAACAAUGACGCUGAGGCGCGAAAGCGUGGGGAGCAAACAGGAUUAGAUACCCGCGUAGUCCCUGAGCGGGCUGGCAAGGCGCAU